GACGAACGCUGGCGGCGUGCUUAACACAUGCAAGUCGAACGGAAAGGCCCUGCUUUUGUGGGGUGCUCGAGUGGCGAACGGGUGAGUAACACGUGAGUAACCUGCCCUUGACUUUGGGAUAACUUCAGGAAACUGGUGCUAAUACCGGAUAGGAGCUCCUGCUGCAUGGUGGGGGUUGGAAAGUUUCGGCGGUUGGGGAUGGACUCGCGGCUUAUCAGCUUGUUGGUGGGGUAGUGGCUUACCAAGGCUUUGACGGGUAGCCGGCCUGAGAGGGUGACCGGCCACAUUGGGACUGAGAUACGGCCCAGACUCCUACGGGAGGCAGAAGUGGGGAAUAUUGCACAAUGGGCGGAAGCCUGAUGAAGCAACGCCGCGUGCGGGAUGACGGCCUUCGGGUUGUAAACCGCUUUCGCCUGUGACGAAGCGUGAGUGACGGUAAUGGGUAAAGAAGCACCGGCUAACUACGUG
rnacentral:rRNA from 1 species